rnacentral:lncRNA from 1 species
AAUUUUCAUACAUUUAAUUGGAUUAAUAAUAAUAUCUCUACAUUCUCUGGUCAGAAUUCAUAAACAUUACUACUUCAAAUCAUGACUACAUCAGCAUUAAGAUUAAGGAAACCAGAGCUAAUCAUGCAUAUAAAUCAAGAGAAAAAUUGAAAGUCAAAUAUCUGACCAAAACCAAGAAUAAAAGUCAAAUUAUUAAAGAAAAAAGGAAAAAUAAAAUAAAAUAUCUAGAACAGUAGAAUGUGAUUUGCGGUUGAACCAGUUUCAGGCCCAAACUAGUUUUUUUUACAUUCUCGGCCCGUUUUUGGGCCCAAACGCGAGUCCAUCUGGACCAGAUUGAAGCUUUUUGAAGUGGUC